rnacentral:tmRNA from 1 species
GGGGGCGAAACGGUUUCGACGGGGAUACAUAAGCCCAGGCUGCAUGCCGAGUUCUCUUCACACUCGUUAAUCAGGAAGAAGUUAAACACAGUCGCAGACGACUAUAAUUACGCCGUAGCAGCUUAAUC